UUCAUCCAUUCUGGAAUAAGGCUGUAACAUAAUAAAAUGUGGAAAAAAAGAAAAAAAGGAUUUUCAAAACUUUGCUUUGCAAGACACUUUAGACUUUAAAAUGCUGUGAUUGUACGUUAUUACUUUGAAAACUAUUAUUUCAGGAAGCAAACUAUCAUGUUUAGAUCAUUCACAUAAAAGCUAGAUUUGCAAAAGUAC